rnacentral:rRNA from 1 species
UACGGGGGGAGCAAGCGUUAAUCGGAAUUACUGGGCGUAAAGCGUGCGCAGGCGGCUUGCAAGACAGAUGUGAAAUCCCCGGGCUUAACCUGGGAACUGCAUUUGUGACUGCAUGGCUGGAGUGCGGCAGAGGGGGAUGGAAUUCCGGCGUGUAGCAGUGAAAUGCGUAGAUAUGCGGAGGAACACCGAUGGCGAAGGCAAUCCCCUGGGCCUGCACUGACGCUCAUGCACGAAAGCGUGGGGAGCAAACAGG